AUCGCUUCUCGGCCUUUUGGCUAAGAUCAAGUGUAGUAUCUGUUCUUAUCAGAAAGGGCUGAAUAAGUAUUCAGGGCAAAUGCAUUCCAAGUCAGAAAUGGGGCUUGCUCCCUAUAGUUCACAUUAUAAAUUCAUCUUGUGGGUCUCUGGAGUAAGAAAAACAGUUGUUUCUUGGUGUACUUUUA